UGGGGAAUAUUGCACAAUGGGCGCAAGCCUGAUGCAGCAACGCCGCGUGAACGAUGAAGGUCUUCGGAUCGUAAAGUUCUGUUGCAGGGGAAGAUAAUGACGGUACCCUGUGAGGAAGCCCCGGCUAACUACGUGCCAGCAGCCGCGGUAAUACGUAGGGGGCUAGCGUUAUCCGGAUUUACUGGGCGUAAAGGGUGCGUAGGUGGUCUUUCAAGUCGGUGGUUAAAGGCUACGGCUCAACCGUAGUUAGCCUCCGAAACUGGAAGACUUGAGUGCAUGAGAGGAAAGUGGAAUUCCCAGUGUAGCGGUGAAAUGCGUAGAUAUUGGGAGGAACACCAGUAGCGAAGGCGGCUUUCUGGACUGCAACUGACACUGAGGCACGAAAGCGUGGGUAGCAAACAGG
rnacentral:rRNA from 1 species